UACGAAGGGUGCGAGCGUUAUUCGGAUUUACUGGGCGUAAAGGGCGCGUAGGCGGCUUUUUAAGCAACUUGUUAAAGACCACUUAAACCGGUGGAGAUGCGAGUUGAACUGGAGAGCUAGAGGGUAAGAGAGAGAAGUGGAAUUCUUGGAGUAGCGGUAAAAUGCGUAGAUCUCAAGAGGAACACCGAUGGCGAAGGCAGCUUCUUGGCUUACUACUGACGCUGAGGCGCGAAAGCGUGGGGAGCAAACAGG
rnacentral:rRNA from 1 species